rnacentral:lncRNA from 1 species
AUUUUUGAAUAGAGAAUAAUGUAAUUAAAAUAUAAAAUAUAGUAAAAAAUUGAUUCCUGCACGAAUAUAAAGAUAAAAAAUAAUUAACUAUAUACCUCUCAAAACUUCAAAAAUAUUUAAUUUACUCUUAUUUUUAUUUUUAAUAUAUUUGAAAAGACGAAAAAUCAAAAUACUUCUUUUGCCCCUAACUGAAAGGCAAAUAAAAAAAAAUUAUUAUGGUAAAAAGAUAUAUUUGAAAUGGUCAAAUAAUAAUUUUAUAGAAAUAACCGUUAUUACUUAUACUUUACUGACAGAAUUAAACUGUAUAUUUAAAAUAACUUAAAACGUAAGAAGAGUAUUUUUAAUAUUAGCUUUUUAAAAGGGGUAAAUUAUAAAGUCGAAAAUUUUUCGGGAGUAUAUGAACAAUUGUUCUAGAUCUUAAAAAGUGAGUUAUCAGAUAAUUAAUUAAAAUUAUACACAAAAUUAGAAUAAUUUUUUUAAAAAAA